rnacentral:lncRNA from 1 species
GCUUCAAGAGUUCUAGCACCUAGAACUCGACUAGGCUCGUACCAAUCAGAUUUCUUCAAGAACCUAACUCGACCCUCUCAGAACCUCCUCUGAACUUUUGAUUUCUUUUCUUUAGGACCUUCACAAUUCCUUUUUGGAUCAGAUAAGGCUUUGUCUUAAAUCUCAAAGCCUUAUCAUAAAACUAAGAUAGGUUGUAAAAAAGAAGGGAGAGCA